rfam:Nicotiana attenuata strain TT chromosome 2, whole genome shotgun sequence.
UUUUCUUUAAUUAUUUACUAGAGCAAUUAUGAUCUGGAAGUCGAUCCGGGGCAAGUGUUCGGAUCUAUUAUGACAUAGCCUUGAGACGCUCAACGGACCUUUUAACCUUCUAAAAACCUUUUCGGGCUUUGGAUUGAUCCAAGACAGCCAGGAGGUUUGCCUAGAAGCAGCCACCCUUGAAAGAGUGCGUAAUAGCUCACUGAUCGAGCGCUCUUGCGCCGAAGAUGAACGGGGCUAAGCGAUCUGCCGAAGCUGUGGGAUGUAAAAUACAUCGGUAGGGGAGCGUUCCGCCUUAGAGAGAAGCCUCCGCGCGAGCGGUGGUGGACGAAGCGGAAGCG